AUUAGAUCGGGUCAUGGCAAUUCACUUCCCAGAGGUAAUACUUAUGGACAUCUUUAGCAGGUUACCUGUGAAGUCUCUACUUCGUUUCAAAUGUGUGUCAAAAUUUUGGGAAACGUUGAUCUCCGAUCCAUACUUUAAGAUGAAGCAUCUAAAUCGUGCCAAGAAUGAUCAAGAUUCUCAAAAACUUCUUACUAGCCUAAGUUGCCGUAAUAAUGGUAUAUGUUCCAUGUAUUGUUGUCCUUUGUCGCCUGUUCAGCUGGUUGAGGAUGUACAAAAACUCGAUUUCCCUUCAAACCCUACACCAUUCCCAUGCACAAUCCAUUGUUGUUAUGAUGGAUUGGCUGUUAUGGAGGUUCCUGGUAAUUUGAAUGAAGACACCACAUUUUUGCUGUGGAACCCCUCCACAAGAGAAUCAAUUGAACUUCCUUCUCCAGAAUUUCGACUGAACAAAAGUUCUUGUUUUGGUUUGGGUUAUGACUCAACCAGUGGCAAGUAUAAGAUUGUUCAGAUUUUUCAGCAUAUGGAUUUACCUUGUGAAAUUUUUGUACUGAAAGGUGGCUCUUGGAAAAGAAGUGUUAAG
rnacentral:misc_RNA from 1 species